UAUGAAACAUUUCUUAUGCAACAGAACAUUUGUUUAAUUUUUGGCGUAAAUCCGUAUUUAAAAAAAAAAAAAAAAUUAAUUGAAAGACAGACGAGUGAAAACAAGACUGUGUGUGUGUAGGUGAAUUCCAUAUAUAUAAAGCAAAGAGCAAGAUGAGCUGUUGAGUCUCCUAUCCUAAGGUAAUACUAGUUUGCCAGGAGUAUAGGAGGUUUUCAGGUAUUCUCACAUUGUUGGAGUGAUUGCUAUAAAGAGUAUGAUGACUAUACCAAUGUGUAAGAAGAUAUUUGUAGUUAUGUUGGGCUAUCAUAAGGAGACAUAUUUCCUGAUCAUUUUUGUACACUGUAAAGGCAGUAGCUUGCAGGCAACCACAUUUUAAAUAGAUCAACUUGUGAGAGGAAUGGUUUUACCCCCUAAAGUACAACAUAUCUUACUGGUCAAUUAUGCUGUAAAGCCUUUCUUGUCAAGUUUUGAUAUAUUUAUUAUUCAGGAUAUAGCAAUACACAAGAAGUGUAGCAAAGGAGUUUAUAGCGACUUGAUCAUUUAGCAUGGUGAGACAUAAAGCACAUUUCCCAGCCACAGGUUGUGUUAUUUUUUGUAGCAAUAACUGUUUGUUUUAUUUGAGUGUUAAUACUGUAAUUCCUUAGAUUAAAUUGUUUGUUCUAUUUUCCCAGUCAACACUCCAUCAGUUAUGGGGGCAGUGGGUAGUAAAAAGCAGAGCAGUGUUUAACAGAAUAAUGUGAUUUGCCUAUCUUUAUGAUGCUACGGUUAAGUAGUAUAUUAAGUUUAAAGGAACGCUAUAGUAAAAGGAAUACAAACAUGUAUUUCUGUCACUGUAGUGUUAAAAGCGCAGUUUAGGCCCUUGGCCCUCCUAGACACUCUUUAAAAAGUUAAAAAGUUUACCUUUAUUCUAACAAUGUGCAGGUCCACCUCCUUGGCUGAGAUCCAUUAGAGUUGACUAUUUUAGCCAAGCCAAUGCUUUCCCAUAGGAAAGCAUUGUAAAGCUAUUACGCAUUUGUGGCAAAAUGAAGCACUGCGCCAAUCAGCAACUCAUAGAGAGUUAUUGAAUCAAUGCAUAUAUGAGGGACAAUCAGCACAUUCAUGCAAAGCGAUGAGACACUGAGUGUGCACACCUCUUAUAUAUGUGGUGUAGCAUUCACUGUUUUUGAUGUGGAAGUUUUGGAUUUAGUGCAUCUCUAUUAGAAUAAGCUGAUUGGUGGGUCAUGGCGCAUGCACCCAAGUUCAGCAAUGCUUUAAAUAGACACCUCAGAGAGUGAACUAGUGGAGUAAGUGUGGAAAGUAUCUCAGAGAACUUUGCUCCAUUUUGGAUUCAAGGUAUGUUUUUAUCUUAUUGUAAUUAUACAUUUAUAUAUAAUUUUUUUUACCAAAAAGUGGGGGGGGACAAAGUGCCCAGUAAGACUACUAUUAAAGUAAAAAAAGUACACCUUUUAAAAUUUGUUUCCUGCUUUGUCUUUCUACUUUUGAAAAUCUGGUUAUAUUUAAGAGGCACACAUCCUAAACCUUUUUUCAACAAAAAUGUAAUUGGGAUGGGCGUCUUUUAUUGCCAUCAGCGAGUGGAAUCUUAGCUAUAGUGCUUGUGAAGGGAAAUAAUGACAUAUUCAUAUUACUAUAUGUAUCCAACUUGGAAUUUUCUUCAAUGAUCCCCAAGAUGAUCUAUUCACUUAUGUGAUGAUGCCCACUGGGAGAAAUACUUUAGAUAUACUUGCCUGAACACCUCUCUUCUUUGAAAUGUUAUUUUCAUCUUCGACUUGCUUAGUGUUUCAGAAGCGACACCACUGGUGUAUUCCCACCUGAGCAACAACACAAAAAGUGGUUGUAUGGAAAAUCCUGUAUUACAGCAAAUACUCAAUAGAUUGUCUUGCUGAGAAGCAAAUGGAUACCAAAGGGAUUUAUUGCACAUUUAGUCUGACGAUGCCUGUUUCCAUUUGUUAGCAUGUAAUCACUGAUGGGAAAUUUCAAGAUAUGCAGGUAGAAGUUGACCCAAACUAUUUUACCGUUUUACAAAUAGUCUUGGCCAUAAAAAGGGGCAAUAUCCAUUUUUGUCUUAUAUCUUCAUAUACUAUAUUAUGAUCAGAAAUAUAACUGAUAUACUUACGCUCCUGUUAACAAAACUUUGACUGAAGGUGAUGGAAGUUGCUGACAAACAAUAAUUUGAAGGCCACAACUUGCUCACAUUUGUCCUUUAUAAGAUUUGAAAACUAGAAACUACUGCAUUUCAGGAUAGGUUCACAGAAUUGUGUUAUCUAGAUAGAUUUGGUUUAAUUAAUGUGCCAUAUUAACACUUGCAGUACGCCAUGGUGUUCUUCCUAUUCACCUAAUUUAAUAAUGCAAAAAGCACAGAAUGUUUUAUGUAUAUGAUUAAAAAAAGAAAACUUUGUUCUAUAACAUGUAUAUGAUUUUUUUGAUUUAAAAAAUGUCAAUUGUUAACUGUGAAUUGUAUCAUAGAUUAAAUUUGUUUUAGAAAUACUAUCUUCGUGUUAAUUUAGAUUUAUUCUGUUUCUAUAAUUAAUUUUGUAAUACACAGUACUGAUAUUUAACGUGACUGAUUG
rnacentral:lncRNA from 1 species